CCGUUGCACCCCGGUGGACGCGCGCCUUCCGGGCGUUGCGCCUCAGGCUGAAGACAAAUAAGGGGUUGAUCACCCUAGGCUCUAGACCGGCAUUUGGGACCACCCUUUCUGCUUCCCAGAGGUGACUGGCAGGGCUUCCAGGGAAGUGCCGCACUGUCGCUGCUAAUGACUGAAGAAGAACCCUGCCUAACACAACACGUAAUACAUUUGUCAAAUCUGCGAUUCCAUCCCUGGAAACAUUUUUCACACUUACCUGUUUGGAUGUCUGAUAUUUUUCGUCACCUCUCCUGCAUCAUCAAUUUGCUGUCCUUUCAUGCCCCUCUUCAGUCUCAGAACAAAAAGAAGUAACACGGAGCGAGGUGAGGUGACUAAGGUGUGUGGGUUAAGAGAGGUGUGUGCUCUUUUUGCGUAAAACUGGAGGAGCACUGAGAUGGCUGUGUGAGCAGGUGCAUUG